GGACCCAUGCACCUACGAAGGAAAAACCUACAAGCACGAUCAAACGUUCAAAGACGACUGUAACGACUGCAAAUGUGACGAUGGAAAAGUCGAGUGUUCUAAACGCAUUUGUCCCAAACGGUGCUCCCACAAUGGUGAAUACUAUGACGAAGGCGACGAUGUAAAGAGCAAGGAGCCAUGCAAGCGAUGUUUCUGUAAAAAUGGCUCGGUAAAUUGUUCCCCUGUCGUUUGUCCGCCCUGCAAAGGCUACAAACCGCCAGGCGCUUGCUGCCCGAUCUGCGACUAACAACCGUAUUAGAAGCAGGGUCGAUCGCGCUAAAAGCAUCUGUUAUGACCUAAUGGAAUAAAUAAUAAAU